GACGAACGCUGGCGGCGUGCUUAACACAUGCAAGUCGAACGGAAAGGCCCUGCUUUUGUGGGGUGCUCGAGUGGCGAACGGGUGAGUAACACGUGAGUAACCUGCCCUUGACUUUGGGAUAACUUCAGGAAACUGGGGCUAAUACCGGAUAGGAGCUCCUGCUGCAUGGUGGGGGUUGGAAAGUUUCGGCGGUUGGGGAUGGACUCGCGGCUUAUCAGCUUGUUGGUGGGGUAGUGGCUUACCAAGGCUUUGACGGGUAGCCGGCCUGAGAGGGUGACCGGCCACAUUGGGACUGAGAUACGGCCCAGACUCCUACGGGACGCAGCAGUGGGGAAUAAUGCACAGUGGGCGGACGCCUGAUGCAGCAACGCCGCGUGCGGGAUGACGGCCUUCGGGUUGUAAACCGCUUUCGCCUGUGACGAGGCGUGAGUGACGGUAAUGGGUAAAGAAGCACCGGCUAACUACGUG
rnacentral:rRNA from 1 species